rnacentral:rRNA from 1 species
UACGUAGGGUGCGAGCGUUAAUCGGAAUUACUGGGCGUAAAGCGUGCGCAGGCGGUGAUGUAAGACAGAUGUGAAAUCCCCGGGCUCAACCUAGGGAACUGCAUUUAGUGACUGCAUCGCUGGAGUGCGGCAGAGGGGGAUGGAAUUCCGCGUGUAGCAGUGAAAUGCGUAGAUAUGCGGAGGAACACCGAUGGCGAAGGCAAUCCCCUGGGCCUGCACUGACGCGUCAUGCACGAAAGCGUCGGGGGAG